rnacentral:rRNA from 1 species
UACGGGGGGUGCAAGCGUUAUCCGGAUUUACUGGGUUUAAAGGGUGUGUAGGCGGCUUUUUAAGUCAGUGGUGAAAGCCUAGCGCUCAACGCUAGAAAUGCCAUUGAUACUGGAAAGCUUGAGUCAAGAAGAGGUAAGCAGAAUUUAUGGUGUAGCAGUGAAAUGCUUAGAUACCAUAAGGAAUACCAACAGCGAAGGCAGUUUACUGGUCUUGAACUGACGCUGAGGCACGAAAGCGUGGGGAGCAAACAGG